rnacentral:rRNA from 1 species
GUGAGGAAUAUUGCACAAUGAGCGAAAGCUAGAUGCAGCAACGCCGCGUGGACGAUGAAGGCCUUCGGGUCGUAAAGUCCUUUUCAGGGGGACGAGUGAGGACGGUACCCCUGGAAUAAGUCACGGCUAACUACGUGCCAGCAGCCGCGGUAAAACGUAGGUGGCGAGCGUUAUCCGGAUUCACUGGGCGUAAAGCGCCUGCAGGCGGUCUCGUAAGUGGGGUGUGAAAUCUCCUGGCUUAACUGGGAGGGGUCAUUCCAUACUGCGGGACUGGAGGGCAGAAGAGGGGAGUGGAAUUCCCGGUGUAGUGGUGAAAUGCGUAGAUAUCGGGAGGAACACCAGUGGCGAAGGCGACUCCCUGGUCUGCUCCUGACGCUAAGAGGCGAAAGCUAGGGGAGCGAACGGGAUUAGAAACCCUUGUAGUCC